rnacentral:rRNA from 1 species
GACGAACGCUGGCGGCGUGCUUAACACAUGCAAGUCGAACGAUGAACCCGGAGCUUGCUCCGGCGGAUUAGUGGCGAACGGGUGAGUAACACGUGCGUAACCUGCCCUUGACUCUGGGAUAACUGCGGGAAACUGUAGCUAAUACCGGAUACGACCCUCGGAGGCAUCUCCUGGGGGUGGAAAGAAUUUCGGUCAAGGAUGGACUCGCGGCCUAUCAGCUAGUUGGUGAGGUAAAGGCUCACCAAGGCGACGACGGGUAGCCGGCCUGAGAGGGUGACCGGCAACAAUGGGACUGAGACACGGCCCAGACUCCUACGGGAGGCAGCAGUGGGGAAUAUUGCACAAUGGGCGCAAGCCUGAUGCAGCAACGCCGCGUGAGGGAUGACGGCCUUCGGGUUGUAAACCUCUUUUAGCAGUGAAGAAGCGAAAGUGACGGUAACUGCAGAAAAAGCACCGGCUAACUACGUGCCAGCCGCCGCAGUAA